GUUUUGAAACUCUCUUGUUUAAUGAUCAUGUAAGUGAGAUUGGAUCAGUGACUUCUCCAUUUGCUGGCAUUUUUCUGCUUCAUCUCUCCUAAUUUUACCUAUGUGCACAUAUUCUCUACUGAGCUAAGGAUGCCAUUUGUGGAGGGCAAAACCAGUGUCUUUUCUACUUGUCUUUGCCACAUAGACAAGUAUUUUGUUUAUCCCUACUGGUAUCUUUGAGUUUCUAAAUCACAUACAGAAUCUUCAACUUCACUAGACUUUAUUCUUAAUUUUUCAUACUUUUCCCUUUCAACACUCAAUCCAGGAAUCUACAGCCUGAGAAAUGAGGCUGUAGACACAGUCCAAAGGAAGAUUUUUUUUUCAAAGAAA
rnacentral:lncRNA from 1 species